rnacentral:piRNA from 1 species
UCUCUCACAAUAAUGAUUUUU